GAUGAAGAACGUAGCGAACUGCGAUAAGUAAUGUGAAUUGCAGAAUUCAGUGAAUCAUCGAGUCUUUGAACGCACAUUGCGCCCCCUGGCAUUCCGGGGGGCAUGCCUGUCCGAGCGUCAUUGCUGCCCUUCAAGCCCGGCUUGUGUGUUGGGUCGUCGUCCCCCCCGGGGGACGGGCCCGAAAGGCAGCGGCGGCACCGCGUCCGGUCCUCGAGCGUAUGGGGCUUUGUCACCCGCUCGAUUAGGGCCGGCCGGGCGCCAGCCGGCGUCUCCAACCUUUUAUUUUACCAGGUUGACCUCGGAUCAGGUAGGGAUACCCGCUGAACUUAAGCAUAUCAAUAAGCGGAGGA
rnacentral:misc_RNA from 1 species